ACCCCAAGGUGAGUGGCAGACGGGUGAGUAACGCGUGGGAACGUGCCCUUCAGUUCGGAAUAACCCAGGGAAACUUGGGCUAAUACCGGAUACGUGCGAGAGCAGAAAGAUUUAUCGCUGAAGGAUCGGCCCGCGUCUGACUAGCUAGUUGGUGAGGUAAUGGCUCACCAAGGCGACGAUCAGUAGCUGGUCUGAGAGGAUGAUCAGCCACAUUGGGACUGAGACACGGCCCAAACUCCUACGGGAGGCAGCAGUGGGGAAUAUUGGACAAUGGGCGCAAGCCUGAUCCAGCCAUGCCGCGUGAGUGAUGAAGGCCUUAGGGUUGUAAAGCUCUUUCGUCCGGGACGAUAAUGACGGUACCGGAAGAAGAAGCCCCGGCUAACUUCGUGCCAGCAGCCGCGGUAAUACGAAGGGGGCUAGCGUUGUUCGGAAUCACUGGGCGUAAAGGGCGCGUAGGCGGCUUUAUAAGUCGGGGGUGAAAGCCUGUGGCUCAACCACAGAAUUGCCUUCGAUACUGUAUGGCUUGAGACCGGAAGAGGUUAGUGGAACUGCGAGUGUAGAGGUGAAAUUCGUAGAUAUUCGCAAGAACACCAGUGGCGAAGGCGGCUGACUGGUCCGGUUCUGACGCUGAGGCGCGAAAGCGUGGGGAGCAAACAGGAUUAGAUACCCUGGUAGUCCACGCCGUAAACGAUGAAUGCCAGCCGUUGGGCAGCUUGCUGCUCAGUGGCGCAGCUAACGCUUUAAGCAUUCCGCCUGGGGAGUACGGUCGCAAGAUUAAAACUCAAAGGAAUUGAC
rnacentral:rRNA from 1 species